rnacentral:misc_RNA from 1 species
AGCUAAACUUUUGAUUUCCAUAUAUCAUAUAAAUUUUUGUAAAUAAGAAAUGAAUUUUUUUUUUUUUCGGUUAUAGGGUUUGCUCCUUUUCAAAAGUCGCUGUUUUGGUGUUCUUCCAUGACAGAGUAAUGGAUAUUUUUUUUUUCAAAGAUAAAAGUUCAUUAAUGAUAAUAAGCAUUACAAGCCCGGGACAAUUUAAGAAAUUGAGUCCCAUCUAACUAAUCUAUACAACAAAAUUCCCAAACCAUUCAUUACACACAAAUCCCAGGAAGACCAACACUAGACAACCAACAUCUUCCUUGAGCCAGAGCUGGAACGGCAGUUGGGAGAAGAAGAUCGAAGACGACAACAACUACAAAAAAGCUUGCAUGCCUUACUAAAAACAACAUUCGAGGCUCUAACUCAGCCGAUUAACCGACCUCAAGAAUUCAAAAGCACAACCAAUAACGAAACCUCCAGAGGAGGUGGCAGGCAUCAAUGGCCUCUCAAUCUCUUUUAGCUUUGAUGUUCAGCUAACAUAAUAGGAAGUUGACUCACAGACCCCAAAGAUAGACCCCAGAGAUACCUACCAAUGCAGAUUCAAGGACCUCUCCAUAGAACCCAAACAGAUCUGCAGCUACUACACCCAAUUUGACUGGCUCAACCCAAUCCAUAACACAAGUCUUCAAAGUGACACCUUUUCUUUGUCCCCCAAUACUUGCAAAACAAACGAUAACAAAAUUUAUUUACACCCGAUCCAAAGGGAGGAUGAAACCAUAAUCAUGACCGAAGGAAAACACCUCCUACCUGGAAGGGGGAGGAAAAGCCAACAGAGUACUUGAUAAGAGGCGCGGAUGGCAUGUUAGAUAUCAUGGACCACAUUUUGCUAUUAGAAAAACUUCUAUAGUUCUUCACUUAAUUCACCGAGAGGUUGAUUAGGUUUGCCACUAUUCCAUCCCAGCUAUUCUCAUCUUAAAUGAUAAAAUAGUUAAUACUACUGGUGACUGUUUGUUUUGCCAGAUGACAUGGAAUAAGUUGACUCAAUUUUAUCAUAAUCUUAUUAAAUUUCAAAUGUACAGUAGUUAUUAUAAAAAAUAUAUUUUUAAAAUUAACAUAAGCAAAGAAUAGCUAAUAAUUAAUGAACAUGACUAGUUGUUUAAUUCACACCCUAUUACAUUCCGUAAAAUCCAAGUCAGAAAAUUAAAUUUCCCUGGUUCCUCCAUUAGACCUAUUCAGUACCCUAUACAGGACUGACGUAGAUUGAUGCUCUUGUUGCAGGGAAAAAAAAGGGCGAACUUUGCAAGAUUAUUUGCAUAGUGAUUGGUCUAAUGCCUGAGACUUGUAAUUGUCACAGUGAAGUGAUGGAAAGUACGGGUCAGGUGACAAUGUUUCUAAAAUCAAGGAUAAACAGAAAAAUGCAGUCAUUUGGCCUUGACCCAUCAGAAAAUUAAUUGAUUAUUUAUUUAUUUACAGUUUUCAAGUCAGUGAUGUUCAUCUCCAGUCUCCAACACUAGCUCAGCCACCACAAGUUAGGACCAGACCUCACAUGGAACUAUGGAUGGAACCUAAACAUCAUUUCUUCCAACUCAGACAACUCAGAAUUUUUUGUUCCCUCCCGCAGCAAGCAAAGUGCAGAACAGCUAUCAUAUUUGACAAAACAACCACAGGUGUUGCAAAGACUACAGCACAUACGUUUCAACAUCGAUUAUGCAUUUGGUUACAGGUAGAUGCAUGGAAAAGCCAUGCAGCAACGUUUACUGUUGCUGUCACAGAAAAAAAGGACAGGGUUUUAACGUCAUAAUAUCAUUACUUCAAUAUGACGCUGUAUAUGAAUGAUGUCACCAUAUCAGAUGUUAAAAAUCUAAAUAUGCAGAGACAUCCGCAGCCUGAUUGCAUACAUGUAAAUUAUGUCCUCAUGGAAUGGUUAGAAUUGAGAAAUCACUCUCUUCAAAUCUUAUGUUGCUCUUGUUAGUUCUUCUCGCUUGAUCACUCCAUCCCAAUGCAUUUACUAAAAUUCAUAAUCCUUCAAGUAUCCUGGAGAACAAUAGCAGCAUAACAGGCCAUUGUAGAGCUCCAAAACAAGCACCCCUUUUCAUAUACCAACCUGAAAAAUCCCAUGCAUCUUUUCUCACCUUUGGCCUUGACACAUCUCCAUCACUAAAAUCUAAAUCUCCAGCAUGGCCUCAAAUUUUCUUCUAGUUGCUUCUCAAAUAUUCUUAAACUUUUAGUCUCAUGGUUAGUCAGGCCUUGAAAGAUACAUCAGAGAAAUCCUUAACUUUCCCAAAACCUAAUUUAUCAAAUACAAAAAAGGGAACAGCUAACCACCCUAACCAAUUGAAUUGCACAAAGGUAACAGGUAGCCAACCAAUAAAAUAUACAUUUAUACAACUUCUAAAAAGUAUAAAAUAAAAUAAUUUGCUCAAUGAAAACAAUAAUAGAUAUAAGACAAACCUAGGAACAUAUCUGUUACUAAUUUAGCAAUUAGGUCUAAGGCAAAAGUAAGAUUUCAAGGUUUUAGAUGAUGGAAAUAGUGUCUAUAAGAAGUUGAAAACCAUAGUUGAAAUAGAGUUCAAUUCCAUAAUAUAGUUUCUAUGAAAUCAAAAGACUAUGAUUCAUGAUAUUAAAGUUCAAUCUUAUGAAGUUCGCUUUAUAAGCCCUAAGAAAAUCCCAUGAUUCAAACCAUAAAACUUUUAUCAUAAGCAGGCCACACUUCUCUCUCCUAACCAGUUAACAUCUAAUCUCAGCUUCCACCACCUAUAUAGGGAAAGUCAUAGGGGGGUUCUGCAACUUGCGUAGGUGUAAGAAAGGGAAAUUAUGGGAUUCUACUUUGUGGCUUCAGCCUUCAAAUCAUUGAAUUCUUAGUUGUUAUGUGCUAAUUUGUAGAAUUAGUAUUGGACCAUAGAGUAACAAUGGCCACGGUCGAGUUUGAUGUCGGAACCGGACCGGUCCAAUCUGGAACCGAAAACCAGUCAAAUCAGGAUUGACCAAACACCAUCUUUGAACCAAGCUGAAAACAUUCAGUCCAGGCCAAACCGGUUUUUUCAUUAAUAAAAAAAAUCAACAAUCGGAUUUGAUCAAGACCAGAGUGGACCCUUCCAUCCAUUCCCCGUUAACCCUACCAGAACUAGACUGCUAGUCAUGUCUACCAUAAAGGAUCAAGAAUGGACACCAUGAUUGACCUUGAGUUUCCAUGAAUCUGUGCCUACUAUUUCCUAAAAUGAUAGAAGUUCCAACAGCCAAGAACCCUCGUUUUUAAACCACAUAAUAGAUUCCCUUUGAAGCACAAGUUAAGUAUAUUAUUGUCCUAUACGUGGUUUUUAAAUAGUUUGGUGCCUACUUACAGGCUAACACAUGACGUAGGAGAGUUUUGGUGGCUGCUACUUAAGUAAGAAAAUAAGGCUGCACAUCAGAAAAUAGACUUCCAGUUUAUUUACUUCAAAGCGGAAAAGAAUAAAGUAGGGUAGACUAAAUCUGCACUUAAUUGCAGGAAUUCAUAUCUAUUUGCAUUUUGGAAUUGAAAAAAAAAAGAUUCUAAAAUAAGCCCACAAAGACAUCAUGCCAAUCCAUAUUCCAUAUUCAUAUGUUAGAUAAAAUAUACCUUGAACAAAAAUUUGAAAAGUUUCCAACGAUGGAUUUCCA